UAAUGACUUAUGAGUGAGAUGUAUUAAUCAUUCAGGUUGGAGCAGUUGCUGGCCUUUGAGAACUAUCAGGUGAAGACACAUGGAGAUGUAAAGCCUAGGUACAUGCAACUCCUGAUAAAAAGAAGGCACGCACACAACUGGAAUAUCAAUAUCAAACAUCCUACGUACGGCAGGUAAAGCCCAGGUACAUGCAACGUAAACAUCCUAC
rnacentral:lncRNA from 1 species